rnacentral:rRNA from 1 species
GUGCGAGCGUUGUCCGGAAUUACUGGGCGUAAAGAGCUCGUAGGUGGUUUGUCGCGUUGUUCGUGAAAACUCACAGCUCAACUGUGGGCGUGCGGGCGAUACGGGCAGACUGGAGUACUGCAGGGGAGACUGGAAUUCCUGGUGUAGCGGUGGAAUGCGCAGAUAUCAGGAGGAACACCGGUGGCGAAGGCGGGUCUCUGGGCCGAUACUGACGCUGAGGAGCGAAAGCGUGGGGAGCGAACAGG